CUAAACUUCUGAAAUUGGAUCUCAGUGGUUGUUCAAGUCUAGUGGAGCUCCCAUCUUCUAUUGGGAAUCUUAUUAAUCUCACAGAGUUGACACUUAGUCGGUGCUCAAGUCUAGUGGAGCUCCCAUCUUCUAUUGGGAAUCUUAUUAAUCUCACAGAGUUGACACUUAGUUGGUGCUCAAGUCUGGUGAAACUUUUGAAAGGCUGCUCAAGUCUAGAGGCUCUUCCAAUCAUCAUCGACAUGGAAUCUCUCGAUACACUUUAUCUCACUGGCUGCAAAUCGUUGAAAACCUUUCCUGUGAUUUCCACAAAAAUUAAGUCUCUCUCUAUUAUUGAAACUGCAAUAGAAGAAAUUCCUUCGUCAUUCAGGUCAUGGUCUCGUCUUGAGGACUUGCGAAUGCCGUACUGUGAAAACCUGGCGGAAUUUCCGCAUGUUUUUGGCUGCAUCACGGAGCUUGAGGUGAGCAAUACAAGAAUACAAGAAAUUGCUCCAUGUGUCAAGGAAAUGUCUCGUCUACAGAGACUUGUAAUCAAGGGAUGCACAAAUCUGGUUUCGCUCCCAGAGCUUCCAGGCUCCUUAAGAUUCCUGCUUGCAGAAAAUUGUGAGUCACUAGAGAAACUAGAUUGCUCUUUUUACAAGAGAGUGUUUGAUUAUCUCUUGUUUUGCAACUGCUUCAAACUGAAUCAAGAAGCAAGAGACCUUAUCAUCAAGACAUCGAUUAGUACUAAGUAUGCAAUGUUACCCGGAGAAAAAGUGCCUCCAUAUUUCACUCACCGAACUAAUGGGAGUUCCAUCUCAGUGAAUUUGAUUGGAAGUGAUACACAUUUUCCUUUAUCCUUGAGAUUUAAGGCUUGCGUCUUGACUGGGGAGCAAUCGUAUGCUAUGUAUUGGAAUUUAAAUUGUUGUAUCAAUGGUGUCAAGGUUAAGGUUAAGAUAGUGGGUUCCAUCGACCAUUCGCUGCAUCUAUUGAUAUUCAAAUUUGAAGCAGAGGUGAGUUCCAGUGAAUUACUCUUUGAAUUCAAAUCCGUACGCUUUCCGACAUGUGAGAUUGGAGGAUGCGGGAUACGAAUUUUGAUAUAAAAGGAGGAUAUCCAAUAUAAUUUCAAUUUUUCAUUCAUAACUAAGAAAAACUUUACUUUCAAGUUGAUGUUUAUUUUUAUUAUUAUAGUGUGAUAUUCUUGGAUUGAUGUCUCUUAUUAAAAUUAACAGAUAAACUGAAAAACGUUGCUAAAGCAAAAAAACAGAGCUAUGCAUUCCUUGUCUGCCUUAAAUAUCAACCCUACAGUUGCUAUAUCAUAAAUCUUUGUUUCAAACUCGUUUGAAUGAUCAUCAACAAACAAAAAGAAAUUCUGAAGCUUGUGUAAAUUCUAAGUCAGUUGAGAUAACUUUUAGUUGGAUUUGGGAAUGAAGAUUCCAUUCAAGAUCAUUUACUUUUCGUAAAAGUUUUCCUCGGUUUAGGUCUGCAACUCUUCUACAUGAUUCUAUAAAAAUAUAUCUUCCCCUUUUUCGAUUAAUCAUCAAAGAACUGGGAUUAACUUUCUCUGUUUGUGGCUUUGUGUUACCACUUCUCAUCAUCACUCAGAAUUCUUCAUAGUUUAUUCUUCCAUCCUGCAUAAAAAGAGAAACCCAUCAAUGUCAAUGUUAGCUUAAGACUUACUGCUCAUAACAUCUUUGAUGCUAUAUACAAGGAGAAAAUAACUUACAUUAUCUGUGUCCACUUCCGCUAUGAUCUCUUUGAUGCUAGCUUCGUCUCCCAUAUCAUACUCUUUCAUAGCUGAUUCCAACUCAUCCAUUGUGAUAAACCUGUGCAUGUCAAAUCCACAUUGGUGUCUUAAUAUAUAUCUCCAAGUCUAUAUUUUGCUUGUUCCUCAAAGGGCCAAACUUACCUGCUAUUGUCUUUGUCAAAGUAUUGGAAGGCUUUGAAUAAGUGCUCAUCUCGAUCCACUCUGUAUCUAUGCAUCGUCGCUGACAUAAACUCGAUGUAGUCUAUUGUUCCAUUACCAUCUACAUCAGCCUGAAACAUUUUAUACAUCAAAAGGCUUCUCUUCUCAUGUUCUAUCUUUGAAGAUAAGAAUAUGGAAUGAAUAGAAAGAGGAUGGCAAUACUAACAGCUUCCAUGAGUUGCUUAACCUCAGCUUCAGAGAGUUUAGAACCGAGUUUAGCCAGCCCGGUUUUCAGUUCUUCGUUAGUGAUUGUCCCGCUUUGAUCGGUAUCCAUAUUCGCAAACAUGGUUUUGAGACCUUUAAUUUCCUCUUCAGAGAGACUCUCUGCAAUAACCUGCAAAACAAAAACAAAAAGCAGAAACACGACCAAUGAUUAGCUAGGAAAAAUGGAAGAGAAUGUUUACUUGAAGAAUAGAAGUUUGUAGCUUUACCUUAAGAGCUAGCUUCUUAAGUUUGUUCAUUGCUCGGAAUUGCUUCAUCCGAGAUAACACAGCACUAUCAAUAGGCUUGUCCGGAGCUUCUCCGCCUCUGAUCCAAGGAUGAUCUAUGAAAAAGAACAUUGAAAAGUAUGUUCUUUGGUUAGUAGACUAAUCUUGAAGAGACUAAAUGCACUUUACCAAGAGCUUGUGCGGCUGAGAUUCGUUUCUUAGGGUCCUUAGUAAGCAUCUUCCUCACAAGGUCCUUAGCACUCUCAGAUAUAGAAGGCCAUGGUUGGCUCUCAAAAUCAAUUUCUCCCUUAAUAAUCUCAUCAAAUAUCCCUUUUUCAGUUUCUACAAUGUAACAACAACAGCAUAAAACAAUAUAUAAAUACAUAACUGAAUGGUUAAACCGAAACAAACAAUUUGUCAGCUUUCAUUACCUGCCCAAAAAGGAGGCACACCACAAAGCAAGAUGUAUAGAAUAAUCCCUGCACUCCAAAUAUCGAUUUCCUUUCCAUAACUUCGUCUUAAUACUUCAGGAGCAAUAUAGUAAGCACUUCCAACUAUAUCCCUGUAAACUUUCCCUGCAAUUUUGUUUUCCAUUUGUUAAAACAACAGAUCAAGCUUAUGAACACCAGAUUCAACUAACCAAAAUGGCAUAACUUGACAGACAAAUAAGGAUUACAACACACAAGUUCUAAACAGUUACGCACAUUCCCAAGUUCACACAAAACUUGUAAAACCUCUGUUUUGAAGCUUACCACUAUAUACUAAACUAUAAGCAGAGUAACGUAAGAAUAGAUUACUCCUGUCAAAAUCUAUUAUUAUCGUAUCUAAACAUCGGUUUAGAAUCUUUGAUAAAUCUAAAACACUUGCAUAUAAUCAAAAGCAGAACAAGUUGUAUAGCAGAGCCGUGCUUAGGUUUAUAGAGGCCUUAGACAAAAUUUAAACAUGUGGUCGUAUUAUAAAAAUAAUACUUUAUAAAAAACUAUAACAAUGAAUUAAAACAUACAAAAAUAAUGAUAAUAAAUAAUAGAUAAUAUAGAAAUUCUAAAUUAUAAUUAUUUUCAUUUUUCCUACAAAAGCAUUUAUCAAAUUCACAUAUUCAAUUUUUUUAAUCAAUUCUUUUUAUUAAUAUAAUAAUCAAACUGUUUAAUUUCUCUAAUAACAAUAAAAAUGUUUAAGAUUAUGAACUUUUUAAAACAAAUAAAUUAAAUACAUGUAUUAAACUAUAUAUGUAAGCCUAUUUUUGAAAUAAAUGUGGCCUUAUAAUUUUGUUAACUUUGAUGUGGCCUUAGGCCAUUGCCUAAUUUUUUAUACCUGAGGCACGGCUCUGUUGUAUAGUAUUCUCACCUUCUUCGAUGAACACAGACAAUCCAAAAUCAGUAGCCUUGAGCAUAGCAUUCUCAUCUUUACUAGCGAGCAAGAAGUUCUCAGGCUUGAGAUCACGAUGCAUCACACCCAUGAAAUGACAAAUCUGUACAACAUUCAGAAUCGAUCUAAUAACACCUGCAGCUGCUCUCUCCGAGUAAUAGAACCCAUCAAUUUUUUCUUUUUAUAAUAUUAAUUCGCGUGGGUUUUUAUUCCUACUUCUAAAACCUUGCACUCUUUAAUUAUGUUUUUCAGAAAUACAUUUCCUUCUUUGGGAAAUUAUAUUUGUAAAUUCACAGAAACUUAUACAUAUAUCAUUUUACGUUCACUAAAAAAUGGUCAUUAGCACAUAAAAUUGCAAAAUCAAUAGCCAGAAGUGUUACUAAGUUUAAUCUACAUCAAGUUUAUAAAGCAAAAGAUGAAAAUGAAGUGGCUCAUCGUCUUGGAGAUUUCGACAAAUCGAGAAGCAGAUGUAUUGAAGGAAUGUCUUAACGGUGAUGUCAAGUCUAUGUUGAUUGUUGAGCUUGUAUGAAGCUGUUCACUUAUUCACUUGGGGACUACCACUGAUGAUAUAAUAGACCAAAGGCCAAGCAUUGAGAUUCACAUCGAUUCACUUGAAGAGUUGAAGUUGUUUAGUGGAUCAUUUUAUGGGCAGUAACUGAAUUUGGGCAGUUUCGAUAUAUGACGUGGCCCAUGAGACUUGGUAUUCAUUUUUGACGGGUUGAUCCGGAGAAUAUAUAUGUAUCCAUGAUUAUUUUUUUGUUUUGCGGAUCGAAAUAUUUUCGAUUCGUAUCUACCCUAGAAGUUAGAACUAGUCAGUUAUUCAAUGUUUUUUAUAGGAUAAUAACCGAUCCGCUUAUUUUUUAAAAAAUUCAACUUAAAAGAUUAUGAAAAAAAAAUUAAGAUCACAGUGAAAAUAUUCAUGUAAAGUCCUUUUUUUUUUCAAAUUUAAUAGUCUGAUAUUUAUUUAUAUUUUUAAAAUGUAUAGAUAUUAAUAUAAAUUUAUCUAUAUAUGUAAAUUCAAAUAUGCAUCCAUUGAUCUGAAUGAAAUUCCGAAAUUUAUAAAAUUUAGUAUUUUGUCAUUUGUUUAGUUUCUAAUUUCUUGGCAAAGAAGUUGAAGCUGAGGAUGAAGCUUCGUUGAAUUUAAUAGUCUGAUGAAGUUUUCCACUAAUCUCUCUCAGGCAAUAGAGUCAACGAUUUGUGUCACAAUAUUCAAAGAAAACAAAGAAACCAAGCUCUUUGUUCCAUUAUUUUUUUCUUUUCUUUUAUUGUAACAAGCUCUUGUUCCAUUCUCUUUGUUUCAUCUUUCUUCAAAUAUCUUUCUAGCAAGGUCCUUGAUCCUCUCUCCACCGCACCAAUGGAUUCUUCUAUUUUAAUUACCAUUCUUGCUGCUGCAAUAGGCUUCUUCAUGAUUUUUAGAAAAAUCAGAUCCCAUCAAGAAAACAAAGAAAUCGAUUCUUCUUCUUCUUCUUUAUCUACUUCAUCAGUUCCUCCAUCUUUAUCGUCUCCUUCAUCAGUUCCUUCAUCUUCUUCGUCUCACAACUGGAUACACGAUGUUUUUCCGAGCUUCCGCGGGGAAGAUGUCCGCGAAGAAUUUCUCAGUCAUAUUAAGAAGGAGUUUGGAAGAAAGGGAAUUACACCGUUCAAUGAUAAUGGGAUCAAGAGAGGAGAAUCCAUCGGUCCUGAACUCAUACGGGCCAUUAGAGAAUCUAAGAUCGCGAUCGUUUUGCUCUCCAAGAACUAUGCUUCUUCAAAAUGGUGUCUUGACGAAUUGGUGGAGAUUAUGAAGUGCAGGGAAGAGUUGGGUCAAACUGUGAUGGCCGUUUUCUAUAAAGUAGAUCCAUCUGAUGUAAAGAAGCUUUUAGGAGAUUUUGGCAAGGUUUUCAGAAAAACUUGUGCGGGUAAAAGGAAGGAGGAUAUUGGAAGAUGGAGACAAGCUUUGGAAAAGGUGGCCACAAUCGCUGGUUACCAUUCAAACAAUUGGUUUGUUCUCUGCUUUGCUUUCAAUUUUUUCAAACACAUCAAAGAAUAUCCAGGAGUUACGUUUCUUUCUAAAAUUUUAUAAACCUAAGAAUUUUAGACUAUUGGUGAUAUUAUUGGAAAAUGAAUGCUAAAAGGUGGAUUUUGUUAGAAUUGCCCAAAUAUAUAUAUAUAUAUAUAUAUAUAUAGAUAUAUAUAAUAUCCAGCCAAAAACCACAUAUAAUUUGAAUUUGUAAAAAGAAAACGAAAAUUACAAUCACAAGACCACUUUUUUAAGCCUUCAAAUCUGAAUGAAAUAGAUAAGAAUAUUAAAUCUAAUCCUGCUCGUAGCAUUUCUCUGUUCUGUCGAGGAUUGUUCCCUUUAGCAUUAAUACAUAUAAGUUUUAAAGUCAAGUAGAACAAAAGUGUACGUGAAUUUUUGAUGAAUAUUGAACGAACCUACUCCAUCUGUCCUCUUGUUAGGGAUGAUGAAGCGGCCAUGAUCGAGAAAAUUGCCAUCGACGUUUCAAACGAGCUGAUUAAUAAUGCGCCAUCAAGUGAUUUCGACGGUUUCAUUGGGAUGGGAGCUCAUAUGGAAAAGAUGGAACCGUUCUUACUCUUAGGCUCCAAUGAAGUGAGGAUGAUAGGGAUUUUGGGUCCUUCUGGAAUUGGUAAGAGCACCAUCGCCAGAGUUUUGUAUAGCAAAUACUCUCAUCAUUUCCAACUUAUUGUCUUCAUGGAGAAUAUCAAAAGACGUUAUCCAAGACUUGCUUACGAUGAGUACAGUACGAAACUGCAAUUGCAGAACGAGUUCUUGUCCCAAAUAAUCAACCAGGAGGGAAUCAAGAUCCAUCAUUUAGGAGUUGCGCAAGAUAGGUUAAAAGACAAGAGAGUACUUGUCGUUCUUGAUGACGUGGACCAUUUGGUGCAACUAGAUGCCAUGGCGAAAGAAACUCGGUGGUUUGGGCCUGGAAGUCGGAUUAUCAUCACAACGCAAGAUAAAAGGCUUUUGAAUGCACACGGGAUUAACCAUAUUUACGAGGUGGGUUUCCCACAUGAAGAUGAGGCUCUUGAAAUCUUCUGCAUGGCGGCUUUUGGUCAGAAUUCUCCAUAUGAGGGUUUCAAGAUCCUUGCUAGGGAGGUUACAGGACUUGGUGGUCGACUCCCUUUGGGACUAAGGGUUAUGGGAUCUUAUUUGAAAGGAAGGUCCGAGCAGGAGUGGAGACAGGAACUACCAAGGUUAAGGACCAGCCUUGACGGAGAAAUUGAAAGCGUCUUGGAGUUCAGUUACAAUGCCUUACGUGCUGAAGAUAAAGCUUUAUUUCUUUAUAUAGCUUGUUUUUUCAACAAUGAAAGGAUUGAGAAAGUCCAAGUACAUCUAGCAAAGAAUUUCUCUAAUGUGAGUCAAGGUCUCCAGGUCUUAGCUGAGAAAUCUCUCAUAUCAAUCAGCGGCUGGGGAUCGAUAGAGAUGCAUGAUUUGCUAGCACGUUUGGGUAAAGAAAUUGUUGGUAGACAAGCCAUUCAUGACCCUGGGGAGCGUCAGUUUUUGGUUAAUGCCCAAGAUAUAUGCCAAGUACUGAACAAUGAUACACUGGUAAGUACUUUUCACACUCUCUCCCCUUCACUAGCAUGGUGCUCCAUAGACCUUACAAAAUUUGAUAACUAACCAUAUGUAUUUGGAUUCUUUUUCAGGGUAGUAAAAGAGUUAUAGGCAUAGAUCUCAAGUAUCAUGAGAUCAAGGAUGAGUUAAAAAUAAGUGAGAGAGCCUUUGAAAGAAUGUCUAGUCUCCAAUUCUUAAGAACACGUGGUGAUUCUAACUAUGCCUUACAGCCAAGACCAAACUAUCUACCUCCAAAAGUUACAUUGCUGCAUUGUGAAUAUUUUCCAAUGACAUGUCUCCCUUCUAGGUUCAAUCCGAAUUUCCUCGUGGAACUAAACAUGCCUCGUAGCAGGCUUGAGAAAUUAUGGAAAGGAAUUAAAGUAAGUAAAUUUUGUUCUCUAGUAUGUAUUUCAGUUUUAUUCGAAUCUAUAGUUCUUCUUUUUGGACAUCAUGCUUAAGGUGAAACAAAAAUCUCAAUGGUACUGUAUUGUGUUCUAGGAUAAUUUUUCUUUGAUGAAUUCACUACUAAGUGUCUAUCAAUGUUAUUGUUUCUCUGUACAGACGAUUAAAAAUCUCAAGUGGAUGGAUUUGAGUUAUUCCGAAAAUCUGAAGGAGCUUCCUGAUCUCUCAACUGCCAGUAGUCUCCAAGAAUUGAAACUUAAAUAUUGCUCAAGUCUGGUGAAGCUUCCAUCUUCUAUUGGGAAUGCUGUUAAUCUUCAAAAACUAGAUCUCAGUAAAUGCUCAAGUCUGGUGAAGCUCCCAUCUUCUAUUGGGAAUGCUGUUAAUCUUCAGAAAUUAAAUCUCAGUAGAUGCUCAAGUCUAGUGGAAGUCUCAUCUUCUAUUGGAUAUGUUAUUAAUCUCAAGAAGUUGAAUCUUUGUGGUUGCUCAAGUAUAGUGAAUCUCCCAUUUUCUAUUGGGAAUGUCACUAGUCUUCAGAGAUUGGAUCUCAGUGGUUGUUUAAGUUUGGUGGAGCUCCCAUCUUCUAUUAGAAAUCUUAUUAAUCUACAGAAGUUGGAUCUUUCUGAUUGCUCAAGUCUAGUUGAGCUCCCAUCUUCUAUUUGGAAUGUUUUUAAUAGUAACCUCAAGGAGUUGAAUCUUCGUGAUUGCUCAAGUGUAGUGAAGCUCCCAUCUUUUAUUGUGAAUGUUGUUAAUCUUGAGAAAUUAAACAUCAGUGGUUGCUCGAGUUUAGUGAAGCUCUCAUCUUCAAUGGGAAAUGCUGUUAAUCUCAACGAGUUAAAUCUUAGUGGCUGCUCAAGUAUAGUGAAGCUCCCAUUUUCUAUUGGGAAUGUCACUAAUCUUCAGGAGUUAAAUCUUAAAGGUUGUUCAAGUCUAGUUGAGCUCCCAUUUUCUAUUGGGAAUCUUAUUAAUCUCACAGAGUUGGAUCUUUCUGGUUGCUCAAGUCUAGCGGAACUCCCAUCUUCUAUUGGAAAUGCUGUUAAUCUUCAAAAACUAGAUCUCAAUGGUUGCUCAAGCCUGGUGGAGCUCCCAUCAUCGAUUGAAAAUCUUCGAAAUUUGUUGUACUUGCCUUUGAAAGGUUGCUCAAAGCUAGAGGCUCUUCCGAUCAACAUCAACAUGGAAUCUCUCCAUAAACUUGAUCUCACUGACUGCUCAUCGUUGAAAAGUUUCCCUGAGAUUUCCACAAAUAUUAAGUCUCUCUGGAUUUGUGGAACUGCUGUAGAAGAAGUUCCUUCGUCAUUCAGGUCAUUGUAUUAUCUUGAGCACUUGCAAAUGCAAUACUGUGAAAACCUUGGGGAAUUCCGCAUGCUUUUGACCGCAUCAUGAAGCUGCACGUGAGCAAUACAAGAAUACAAAAACUUGCUCCAUGGGUUAAGGGAAUGUAUCGUCUACAUACACUUGUGCUUGAGAGAUGCACAAAUCUUGUUUCGCUCCCAGAGCUUCCAGGCUCCUUAAGAGUCCUGCUUGCAGAAAAUUGUGAGUCACUAGAGACACUAGAUUGCUCUUUUCACAAGACAGAGUUUGACCGUCUCAGGUUUAUCAACUGCUUCAAAUUGAAUCAAGAUGCAAUAGACCUUAUCAUCAAGACAUCGAUUGGUCACUAUGGCCAUGCAGUCUUACCCGGAGAAAAAGUGCCUACGUACUUCACUUACCGAAACAAUGGGAGUUCAAUCUCAGUGAAUUUGAAUGAAACUGAUACACAUUUUCCUAUAUCCUUGAGAUUUAAGGCUUGCGUCUUGCUGGUUAAUAAGGGUGGCAAUUGGAGUUUGAGGUAUCUAUAUUGUCGCAUCAAUGGUGUCAAUUCUAGGAUUCCCAUUCUCACCGAACUAUCGCCAUGUGGAAAGGAGCAUCUGUUCAUAUUCGAAUAUGAAGCACAGGUGAGUUCCAGUGAAUUAGUCUUUGAAUUCGAAUUUAGCGAGAAGAAAUUGGAGAUUGGAGAAUGCGGGAUACAAACUUCAGGUCCCUAGGUGUUAUAAGGAGGAUGUACAGUAUAAUUUCCAUUUUCAUUAUUGUUUACUUCAAAAAAAAAAAAAACAUUACUUUCAAGUUGAUGUGCAUUUUAUGUAUGAUUGUCAUUGUGUGAUAUUGGAUUUAUUUGAAUUUAACUGAUGAAUUCACAAUGUUUUUAAUGCAAUGCAUUCCUUGUCUGCCUUAAAUUAUCGACCAAACAGUUGUUAAUUAAUUAAUGGUAUGUUCUUCCUUUUUCGACUAAUCAUAUCGAAGGGAUAGCAGAGAUAUUUUGUCACUCCUAAUUUCUUGGCAACAGAGUUGAAGCCGAGGAUGAAGUUUCCAGAGAAGAUUGAUGUCUUUUCUGUGUAGUGUGAAGUGUGAACUCAUCAAUUCUUGACGAAGAGACAUGGACGUCUUCCUUGAAAUUGCUUCUGCUCUUCCUUGCCCUUUCCUUCUUAGACCAGAAAACUCAAAACGGGGUUUUCCACAAAUCUCUUUCAGUCAAUGAAGACUACAGAGUCAACGUUUUAUUAUCACUAUAUUUUUUUUUAGAAAAUAUAAUCACCAUAUUCAAUUGUAUCUUUCUAGGAAGCUUAUUGGUCCUCUCUCCUCCACACAAACUGAUUCUACUUCUUAUCCUCACCAUUCUUUGCUACUACAAUAUGCUUGUUCAUGAUAUAUAGAACAUUCAUAUUCCAUCAAGAAAACCAAGAAUCGAAGAUUGUCUUCUUUAUCUACUUCAUCACCUCCAUUUUGUUGUUGUAAUAUACUAAUACUUUAUUCAGCAACAAAAAAAAAAAACAAAAUGAGAUUUCAAUCGUUUUUGAGAGAAUUUAAAAAACAGAGACGGAUGGUAGAAAAGAGAAAGAAAAGGAAAUCAGAGGAGCUUUCAAAUCCAGUGAGAAAGAAGAUCCGAGUGCCAUCACCUCCAUCUUUAUCUCUUUCAUCAGCUCCAUCUUCUUUGUCUCCUUCAUUACCUUCAUCUCCUCCAUCUCCUACAUCUUUAUCUCUUCCAUUACUUCCAUCUUCUUUAUUUCUUUCAUCACCUCCAUAUUCUUUGUCUCCUUCAUUACCUUCAUCUCCUCCAUCUCCUACAUCUUUAUCUCUUUCAUCACUUCCAUCUUCUUUAUCUCUUUCAUCACCUCCAUCUUCUUUGUCUCCUUCAUCACUUCCAUCUUCUUCAUAUCUUUCAUCACCUCCAUCUUCUAUGUCUCCUUUAUUACCUUCAUCUUCUUCAUCUCCUCCAUCUCUUCCAUCUCCUCGUUCAUCUUCCUCGUCUCACAACUGGACACACGACGUUUUUCCGAGCUUCCGUGGGGAAGAUGUCCGCAGAAGCUUUCUCAGUCAUAUUCAAAAGGAGUUUGAAAGAAAGGGAAUCACACCAUUCAAUGAUAAUGGAAUCAAGAGAGGAAAAUCCAUCGGUCCUGAACUCAUACGGGCGAUUAGAGGAUCUAAGAUUGCAAUAAUCUUGAUCUCCAAGAACUAUGCUUCUUCAAGUUGGUGUCUUGACGAAUUGGUGGAGAUUAUGAAGUGCGAGGAAGAGUUGGGUCAAACUGUGCUGGCCAUUUUCUAUAAAGUAGAUCCAUCUGAUGUAAAGAAGCUGACCGGAUAUUUUGGGGAGGUUUUUAAAAAAACCUGUGCCGAUAAAAGUAAGGAGGAUAUUCGGAGAUGGAGACAAGCUUUGGAGAAGGUGGCCAAAAUCGCUGGUUACCAUUCAAUCAACUGGUUUGUUCUCUUGAGAUCUGCUUGCUUUUAGUCUUUUCAAACACAUCAAAAUAUAAUUUACAAGAUUAUUAAAUUUUAUGAAGAGUUCUUAAAAGUCAAAGAGUUACUUUUCUUUCUAAAAUUUCAUAAACCCUUACAAUGUUAGAGUUCUGGUGAUAUUAUUGGGAAAUAAAUGCUAGAAUGUGGAUUUUUUGUUUAUAUAUAUAUAUAUAGGUUUAUUCGUAUAAAUCUAAUUUUGAUCAUUCGUUUCAUUGAAUGAAUGUAUUCAUCUUUCUUCUUGUUAGGGAUGAUGAAGCGAACAUGAUCGAAACAAUUGCCAAGGACGUUUCAAACAAGCUGAUUAAUAAUGCGCCAUCAAGUGAUUUCGACGGUUUCGUUGGGAUGAGAGCUCAUAUGGAAAAUAUGAAACCAUUAUUACUCCUUGGCUCCAAUGAAGUAAGGAUGAUAGGGAUUUGGGGUCCAUCUGGAAUAGGUAAAAGCACCAUCGCCAGAGUUCUAUUUUGGGAACAUUCUAGCCAGUUCCAAUUUAGUGUCUUCAUGGCUGAUAUCAAAAGACGCUAUCCAAGACUUGGUUGCAGUGAGUACAGUACGCAACUGCAAUUACAGGAAGAGUUCUUGUCUUCAAUAUUCAACCAGAAGGAUAUCAAGAUUCAUCAUUUAGGAGUUGUGCAAGACAGGUUAAAAGACAAGAGAGUGCUUGUGGUUCUUGAUGACGUGGACCAUUUGGACCAACUAUAUGCCGUGGCGAAAGCAACUGGGUGGUUUGGUCCUGGAAGUCGGAUUAUCAUCACAACACAAGAUAAAGGACUUUUGAAUGCACACGGGAUUAACCAUGUUUACAAGGUGGGUUUCCCACGUUACAAUGAGGCUCUAGAAAUCUUCUGCAUGUAUGCUUUUGGUCAAAAGGCUCCAUAUGAUGGUUUCGAGAAGCUUGCUUGGGAAGUUACAAGACUUGCUGGUAGUCUCCCUUUGGGACUAAAGGUUAUGGGAUCUUAUUUGAAAGGAAGGCCCGAGGAGGAGUGGUGGAAGGAACUACCAAGGUUAAGGACUAGCCUUGAUGGAGACAUUGAAAGUGUCUUGGAAUUCAGUUACAAUGCCUUACUUGCUGAGGAUAAAGAAUUAUUCCUUUAUAUAGCUUGCUUUUUCAACAAUGUACCGAUGGAGAAAGUAGAAACACAUCUAGCAAAUCAUUUCCCCAGUGUGAGUCAAGGUCUUAAGGUCUUAGCUGAGAGAUCUCUCAUAUCUAUCACCACCAGCUACAACGGCUUGACCCCCGAAGAUGUCUGUAUGCAUGAUUUGCUAGCACGGUUUGGUAGAGAAAUUGUUCGUCGACAAUCCCUUUAUGAUCCUGGGCAGCGUCAGUUUUUGGUUAAUGUGCAAGAUAUAUGUAAAGUACUGAAGAAUGAUACACUAGUAAGUUUUCACAUUAUCCUUCACUGCAUGUUGCUCCUUAGACAAUACGAAAUUUAAUAACUAACCAUAUAUAUUUACGUAUGUGUCAUUGGAUUCUUUUUCAGGGUAGCGAAAGAGUUGUAGGCUUACAACUCGAUUAUGAUGAGAUCGAGGAUGAGUUAAUAAUAAGUGAGGGAAGCUUUGAAAGAAUGUCUGGUCUCCAAUUCUUAAGGACAACAAGGGGAGACAGAUAUAAACACUCAAGCCCAAACUAUCUACCUCGAAAAGUUAAAUUACUGCAUUGUGGACAUUCUUUGAUGACAUGCCUGCCUUCUAAUUUUAAUACGGAUUCGCUCGUCGAGCUAAACAUGCCUCACAGCAAGCUUGAGAAAUUGUGGGAUGGAAUUAAAGUAAGUCAUUUUCUUUCUCUAAAACUUUGUGUAUUUUACUUCGGUUUUAUUCGAAUACAUAGUUUUUCUUUUUGUACACUAUGUUCUAGCUGAAAAUAGAAAAGUGAUCUCACCACACCCCUUUUUUUUUGUUGCUGGAAUUAAAUCUCAAUGGCAUUAUAAUGUGUUUAUGAGUUUUUUUUUUUGUGAUGAGUUAACUACUAAGUGUAUCAACGUACGUAUUUGUUUCUCUGUACAGACGAUUAAAAAUCUCAAGUGGAUGGAUUUGAGUCGUUCCUCUAAUCUGAAAGAACUUCCUGAUCUUUCAACUGCCACUAAUCUCCGCGUACUGAAACUUCAAAAUUGCUCGGGUUUGGUGAAGCUCCCAUCUUCUAUUGGGAAUGCUACUAAACUUCUGAAAUUAGAUCUCAGUGGUUGUUCAAAUCUAGUGGAACUCCCAUCUUCUAUUGGGAAUCUUAUUAAUCUCACGGAGUUGUAUCUCAGUGGUUGUUCAAAUCUAGUGGAACUCCUAUCUUCUAUUGGGAAUCUUAUUAAUCUCAAACACCUAGAUCUUAGAAGUUGCUCAAAUCUGGUGGAGCUCCCAUCUUCUAUUGGGAAUGCUACUAAACUUCUGAAAUUGGAUCUCAGUGGUUGUUCAAAUCUAGUGGAGCUCCCAUCUUCUAUUGGGAAUCUUAUUAAUCUCACGGAGUUGUAUCUCAUUGAUUGUUCAAAUCUAGAGGAGCUCCCAUCUUCUAUUGGGAAUCUUAUUAAUCUCACGGAGUUGUAUCUCAUUGAUUGUUCAAAUCUAGAGGAGCUCCCAUCUUUUAUUGGGAAUCUUAUUAAUCUCGAACAACUAGAUCUUAGAAGUUGCUCAAAUCUGGUGGAGCUCCCAUCUUCUAUUGGGAAUGCUACUAAACUUCUGAAAUUGGAUCUCAGUGGUUGUUCAAAUCUAGUGGAGCUCCCAUCUUCUAUUGGGAAUGCUACUAAACUUCUGAAAUUAGAUCUCAGUGGUUGUUCAAAUCUAGUGGAACUCCCAUCUUCUAUUGGGAAUCUUAUUAAUCUCACGGGCUUGGAUAUCAGUGGUUGUUCAAAUCUAGUGGAACUCCCAUCUUCUAUUGGGAAUCUUAUUAAUCUCGAACAACUAGAUCUUAGAAGUUGCUCAAAUCUGGUGGAGCUCCCAUCUUCUAUUGGGAAUCUUAAUAAUCUCGAACAACUAGAUCUUAAAAGUUGCUCAAAUCUAGUGGAACUCCCAUCUUCUAUUGGGAAUCUUAUUAAUCUCAAACACCUAGAUCUUAGAAGUUGCUCAAAUCUGGUGGAGCUCCCAUCUUCUAUUGGGAAUGCUACUAAACUUCUGAAAUUGGAUCUCAGUGGUUGUUCAAGUCUAGUGGAGCUCCCAUCUUCUAUUGGGAAUCUUAUUAAUCUCGCAGAGUUGAAUGUUAGUAGGUGCUCAAGUCUAGCGGAGCUCCCAUCUUCUAUUGGGAAUGCUACUAAACUUCGGAAAUUGGAUAUCAGUGGUUGUUCAAGUCUAGUGGAGCUCCCAUCUUCUAUUGGGAAUCUUAUUAAUCUCACGGAGUUGGAUCUUAGUUGGUGCUCAAGUCUAGAGGUGCUCCUAUCUUCUAUUUGGAAUGCUACUAAACUUCUGAAAUUGAAUCUCAGUUGUUCAAGUCUAGUGGAGUUCCCAUAUUCUAUUGGGGAUCUUAUUAAUCUCACGAAGUUGGAUCUCAGUAGUUGUUCAAGUCUAGUGAAGCUCCCAUCUUCUAUUGGGAAUCUUAUUAAUCUCACGGAGUUGGAUAUCAGUGAUUGUUCAAGUCUAGAGGAGCUCCCAUCUUCUAUUGGGAAUGCUACUAAACUUCUGAAAUUGGAUCUCAUUGAUUGUUCAAAUCUAGAGGAGCUCCCAUCUUCUAUUGGGAAUCUUAUUAAUCUCAAACACCUAGAUCUUAGAAGUUGCUCAAAUCUGGUGGAGCUCCCAUCUUCUAUUGGGAAUGCUACUAAACUUCUGAAAUUGGAUCUCAGUGGUUGUUCAAGUCUAGUGGAGCUCCCAUCUUCUAUUGGGAAUCUUAUUAAUCUAACGAAGUUGGAUCUUAAUUGGUGCUCAAAUCUAGUGGAGCUCCCAUCUUCUAUUGGGAAUCUUAUUAAUCUCAAACACCUAGAUCUUAGAAGUUGCUCAAAUCUGGUGGAGCUCCCAUCUUCUAUUGGGAAUGCUACUAAACUUCUGAUAUUGGAUCUCAGUGGUUGUUCAAGUCUAGUGGAGCUCCCAUAUUCUAUUGGGGAUCUUAUUAAUCUCACGGAGUUGGAUCUCAGUAGUUGUUCAAGUCUAGUGAAGCUCCCAUCUUCUAUUGAGAAUCUUAUUAAUCUCCAGACCUUGAAGCUUAUAGGCUGCUCAAGUCUAGAGGCUCUUCCGAUCAACAUCGACAUGGAAUCUCUCGAUACACUUUUUCUCACUGGUUGCUCAUCGUUGAAAACCUUUCCUGAGAUUUCCACAAAAAUUAAGACUCUUUGGAUUUGUGGAACUGCAAUAGAAGAAAUUCCUUCGUCAUUCAGGUCAUGGUCUUGUCUUGAGGACUUGCAAAUGCCAUACUGUGAAAACCUGGCGGAAUUUCCGCAUGCUUUUGGCUGCAUCACGGAGCUUCAGGUGAGCAAUACAAGAAUACAAGAAAUUGCUCCAUGUGUCAAGGAAAUGUCUCGUCUACGUACACUUGUAAUCAAGGGAUGCACAAAUCUUGUUUCGCUCCCAGAGCUUCCAGGCUCCUUAAGAGUCCUGCUUGCAGAAAAUUGCGAGUCACUAGAGACACUAGAUUGCUCUUUUCACAAGAUAGAGUUUGAUCGUCUCUUGUUUAGCAACUGCUUCAAAUUGAAUCAAGAAGCAAGAGACCUUAUCAUCAAGACAUCGAUUAGUAUUAAAGAUGGCUAUGAAAUCUUACCCAGAGAAAUAGAGAUCUCUCAUCUCUAUCACCAACAAUUACGACGGCAACUGGUUCUCCAACAGUGUCCGUAUGCAUGAUUUGCUAGUACGGUUUGGUAGAGAAAUUGUUCGUCGACAAUCCAUUUAUGAUCCUGGGCAGCGUCAGUUUUUGUUUAAUGCCCAAGAUAUAUGCCAAGAACUAAAUAAUGAUACACUAGUAAGUUUUCACAUUAUCCUUCACUGUGUGUUGCUCCUUAGACCAUACGAAAUUUAAUAACUAACCAUAUUUAUUUACGUAUGUGUCAUUGGAUUCUUUUUCAGGGUAGCGAAAGAGUUGUAGGCUUACUAUUCGAUUAUGAUGAGAUCGAGGAUGAGUUAAUAAUAAGUGAGAGAGCCUUUGAAAGAAUGUCUAGUCUCCAAUUCUUAAGAACAAACUAUCACUUUGCCGUAAACUCAAGCCCAAACUAUCUACCUCGAAAAGUUAAAUUACUGCAUUGUGGACAUUCUUUGAUGACAUGCCUGCCUUCUAAUCUUAAUACGGAUUUCCUCGUCGAGCUAAACAUGCCUCACAGCGAGCUUGAGAAAUUGUGGGAUGGAAUUAAAGUAAGUCAUUUUCUUUCUCUAAAACUUUGUAUAUACUUCGGUUUUAUUCGAAUACAUAGUUUUUCUUUUUGUACACUGCUCUAGCUGAAAAUAGAAAACUGAUCUCACCACACCCUUUUUUUGUUGCUGGAAUUAAAUCUCAAUGGCAUUAUAAUGUGUUAAUGAGUUUUUUUUUUUUUUGUGAUGAGUUCACUACUAAGUGUAUCAACGUACGUAUUUGUUUCUCUGUACAGACGAUUAGAAAUCUCAAGUGGAUGGAUUUGAGUCAUUCUGAAAACCUGAAGGAACUUCCUGAUCUUUCAACUGCCACUAAUCUCCUCGAACUGAAACUUCAAAGUUGCUCGGGUUUGGUGAAGCUCCCAUCUUCUAUUGGGAAUCUUAUUUAUCUCACGGAGUUGGAUCUCUGUUUUUGUUCAAAUCUAGUGGAACUCCCAUCUUCUAUUGGAAAUCUUAUUAAUCUUCAGGAGUUGAAGCUUAUAGGCUGCUCAAGUCUAGAGGCUCUUCCGAUCAACAUCGACAUGGAAUCUCUCGAUACACUUUUUCUCACUGGUUGCUCAUCGUUGAAAACCUUUCCUGAGAUUUCCACAAAAAUUAUGUAUCUAUGGAUCUGUGGAACAGCAAUAGAAGAAAUUCCUUCGUCAUUCAGGUCAUGGUUUUGUCUUGAGGACUUGAAAAUCCCGUACAGUGAAAACCUGGCGGAAUUUCCGCAUGUUUUUGGCUGCAUCACGGAGCUUCGGGUGAGCAAUACAAGAAUACAAGAAAUUGCUCCAUGUGUCAAGGAAAUGUCUCGUCUACGGAGACUUGAAAUCGUCGGAUGCACAAAUCUGGUUUCGCUCC
rnacentral:lncRNA from 1 species